GCGUGCUUAGCUCAACCGGAUAGAGCAGUGGCCUUCUAAGCCUCAGGUUGCGGAUUCGAGUUCCGCAGCAUGCACCA
rnacentral:tRNA from 2 species